rnacentral:lncRNA from 1 species
AUUUCCUCCUUCCCCAGGGUAACCAUUAGUCUGACGUGUAGUAAUCACUCUCUUGCUAACUUUUAACUUUAUCAUCCAAAUAUGAAUCCACAAACAGUAUGAUUUAAUUUUACCAGUUUUGGAAUGAAAUCAGACACUAUGUUUCAUGUGUGUCCAUGUGAAGAGACAACCAAACAGGCUUUGUGUGAGCAAUAAAGCUUUUAAUCACCUGGGUGCAGGCGGGCUGAGUCCUCAUAUGUUUUUUGUUCCUCAUUCUGUUGAUAUGAUAUAUCAAUCUGAUGAUUGAUUUGCAUAUCUUGAACCAUCCUGC